CGUAGGUGGCAAGCGUUGUCCGGAAUUAUUGGGCGUAAAGCGCGCGCAGGCGGCUUCUUAAGUCCAUCUUAAAAGUGCGGGGCUUAACCCCGUGAUGGGAUGGAAACUGAGAGGCUGGAGUAUCGGAGAGGAAAGUGGAAUUCCUAGUGUAGCGGUGAAAUGCGUAGAGAUUAGGAAGAACACCGGUGGCGAAGGCGACUUUCUGGACGACAACUGACGCUGAGGCGCGAAAAGCGUGGGGAGCAAACAGGGAUGAAGAU
rnacentral:rRNA from 1 species